UAUGCACAGGAGCGAUGGUGG
rnacentral:misc_RNA from 1 species